rnacentral:tRNA from 1 species
GCCUGGGUGGCUCAGUCGGUUAAGCGUCCGACUUCGGCUCAGGUCAUGAUCUCAUGGUCUGUGGGUUCGAGCCCCACGUCGGGCU